UACGAAGGGGGGCUAGCGUUACUCGGAAUUACUGGGCGUAAAGGGCGCGUAGGCGGCGCUCCAAGUUAGGCGUGAAAGUCCUGGGCUCAACCUGGGAACUGCGCUUGAUACUGGAGUGCUUGAGGAUGGAAGAGGGUUGUGGAAUUCCCAGUGUAGAGGUGAAAUUCGUAGAUAUUGGGGAAGAACACCGGUGGGCGAAGGCGGCAACCUGGUCCAUUACUGACGCUGAGGCGCGAACAGCGUGGGGAGCAAACAGG
rnacentral:rRNA from 1 species